UACGGGGGGAGCAAGCGUUGUUCGGAAUCACUGGGCGUAAAGGGAGUCUAGGCGGUUUGGUAAGUGGGAUGUGAAAUCCCCGGGCUCACCCCGGGACCUGCAUCCCAAACUGCUGAGCUUGAGUACAGGAGAGGGUGGGGGAAUUCCAGGUGUAGCGGUGAAAUGCGUAGAUAUCAAGAGGAACACCUGAGGCGAAGGCGGGUUGCUAGGCUGACACUGACGCUGAGUGCGCGAAAGCCAGGGUAGCAAACGGG
rnacentral:rRNA from 1 species